UGGGGAAUAUUGGACAAUGGGGGAAACCCUGAUCCAGCCAUGCCGCGUGUGUGAAGAAGGCCUUCGGGUUGUAAAGCACUUUAAGUAGGGAGGAAGGCUCGCUGGCUAAUAGUCAGCGGGAUUGACGUUACCUACAGAAUAAGCACCGGCAAACUCCGUGCCAGCAGCCGCGGUAAUACGGAGGGUGCGAGCGUUAAUCGGAAUUACUGGGCGUAAAGCGCACGUAGGCGGCUUGUUAAGUCGGAUGUGAAAUCCCCGGGCUCAACCUGGGACCUGCAUUCGAUACUGGCGAGCUUGAGUACGAGAGAGGGGGGUGGAAUUCCAGGUGUAGCGGUGAAAUGCGUAGAUAUCUGGAGGAACAUCAGUGGCGAAGGCGGCCCCCUGGCUCGAUACUGACGCU
rnacentral:rRNA from 1 species